UACGUAGGUGGCAAGCGUUGUCCGGAAUUAUUGGGCGUAAAGCGCACGUAGGCGGCUUAGUAAGUUGGAUGUGAAAUCCCUCGGCUUAACCAAGGAAGUGCAUCCAAAACUACUGAGCUUGAGUACUAAAGAGGAUCGCGGAAUUCCCGGUGUAGAGGUGAAAUUCGUAGAUAUCGGGAGGAACACCAGUGGCGAAGGCGGCGAUCUGGGUAGAUACUGACGCUGAGGUGCGAAAGCGUGGGGAGCAAACAGG
rnacentral:rRNA from 1 species